rnacentral:rRNA from 1 species
CCUACGGGUGGCUGCAGUGGGGAAUAUUGGGCAAUGGAGGCAACUCUGACCCAGCAACGCCGCGUGAAUGAUGAAGGUCUUCGGAUUGUAAAGUUCUUUUCUAAGGGAAGAAGAAAGUGCCGUUACCUUUGGAAUAAGCCUGGGCUAACUACGUGCCAGCAGCCGCGGAAAUACGUAGGAGGAAAGCGUUUUCCGGAAUGACUGGGCGUAAAGGGGGCGUAGGGGGUUAGACAAGUUGGUUGGGUAACCCCGGAGCUCAACCUCGGAACUACUAUCAAAACUGUUUGACUUGAGUGCCGGAGAGGCCACUGGAAUUUCUAGUGUAGCGGUGGAAUGCGUAGAUAUAAGGAAGAACACCAGUGGCGAAGGCGAGUUGCUGGACUGUAACUGACGGUGAGGCACGAAAGCGUGGGGAGCAAACAGGAUUAGAUACCCGUGUAGUC